AGCCGAAGUCGCCCCCGAAGUCGAGCAGUUCCCGUCCUCCUUGCUUGAAGGCAAGCCCCGGUUGCAUGAAAACCUUGAGUGUUUUACCAAACUUGCACAUGCCUUCUGUAACAUGCUUGUGCAUUUACGUAUAGGAGUUGUGUGAAACCCUAGAUGCAUGACUCAGUUAACCCAUGAUCUGAGCACUAGCUAUUGGACCGAGUAGCUGCAUUGCUUAACUAGGAGACGGUAAAAGUCGAG
rnacentral:lncRNA from 1 species